rnacentral:rRNA from 1 species
CCUACGGGAGGCAGCAGUGAGGAAUAUUGGUCAAUGGACGAGAGUCUGAACCAGCCAAGUAGCGUGAAGGAUGACUGCCCUCUGGGUUGUAAACUUCUUUUGUCUGGGAACAAAAUGUUCCUCGUGCGGGUUUGUGAAAGUACCAUAUGAAUAAGCAUCGGCUAACUCCGUGCCAGCAGCCGCGGUAAUACGGAGGAUGCGAGCGUUAUCCGGAUUUAUUGGGUUUAAAGGGUGCGCAGGGGGAAGGUUAAGUCAGCGGUCAAAUGGCGGUGCUCAACACCGGUCUGCCGUUGAAACUGGUCUUCUUGAGUGAGCGAGAAGUAUGCGGAAUGCGUGGUGUAGCGGUGAAAGGCAUAGAUAUCACGCAGAACUCCGAUGGCGAAGGCAGCAUACCGGCGCUCAACUGACGCUGAGGCACGAAAGCGUGGGGAUCGAACAGGAUUAGAUACCCGUGUAGUC